GAUUGACAUUCUGAAAACAACACGGACGACAAAGGAAGACAAAAUGGCAGCAACUUGGUAAGUAUUAAAUUUAUUUAAUAUUUUCAAGGUAUUUCCCUUUUUUUUUCUUUUAUAUUUCUUUCAGGUACUUCCUACUCCCUACCGCAGAACAGGAUUCGUAAUUUAAGCAGCAACAGGCGUCCGCAACAGAAUGAAAGUUUUGAAUCCAACACCACACCGAGGUCAGAGAAACUUGAAAGACUACAUAAUUGAGACGUGUUCAACAAAGAAGUAUAUGACAGGACAUUGUGUUUGCGUGUAAAACGCAUUAUUUUACACUUGUCAAUAUUUAAAGACAGACGAUUAGUAUUGCACCAUUCCCAGAAUUUUUGAAGAUCUUCUUGUAGAAGUUCACAGUCAGGUAUUAUAGUUUUGAGGCAGCGAAUUGUUUAACAAUUUAUUGUUUGUGAAAUGUAUUUAUAAUUUACGGAUCUAUAAAAAAGAAUUAAUACAAAAAAAUGGAAGAAAGUGAAGAAGAAUUUUGGGUUUUCUCAUUGACGAGAACGAGCAUGUCGUAAGCAAUAAAUUAUGCCACCUCUGCCGCAACCACAUCAUGGAUCAUUAAAAUCAUGGAUAUAUUGCAGUCUCUUCCUAACAGAAAUUGAGAAAUUGAAUCCAAUGAUUAUGAUGGAUGGCACUUGGAAUUACAUGUUCGAGUAAAGGGGCCAACCCAUAGAAUCCGUCGCGUGCGUUAUGUUGAAGUUGUUAACUGACAACCCGAUAAAAUAUACACAUUUUUAUGAGAACCGACUCGUAAAUGACGGAUUCGACGGAUGCGAUUAACUCUGGCCAAUUGGCUGAUGAAAAAGGUGGAUUCGUCCUAUAUCCACCAUCCAAAAAGGAAGACACUAGCAUGUUUAGUGUUAUACCAUGUCAAAUCCGAAAGUCUAAGUCCACUUUUUAUGUUGCUAUAAUUUUAGUAAUUUUUUAAAAUUUUGUUGGUA